UGCGUAGGCGGAAUAUUAAGUCAGUGGUGAAAUCCUGCGGCUCAACCGUAGAACUGCCAUUGAUACUGAUAUUCUUGAAUGUAGUUGAGGUAGGCGGAAUGUGUAAUGUAGCGGUGAAAUGCUUAGAUAUUACACAGAACACCGAUUGCGGAGGCAGCUUACUAAACUAUGAUUGACGCUGAGGCACGAAAGCGUGGGGAGCGAACAGGAUUAGAUACCCUGGUAGUCC
rnacentral:rRNA from 1 species